rnacentral:lncRNA from 1 species
AGGCACUGUGUUGACUUUUUAUCACUUAAAGUCGCCGAGGGAUAUGUAGAUAGACCUCUCGCUUAUGAUACUACAAUGCUAACAAUGCUAGACAACGAGAAUAUUUCUGCAUCCGGCACGUCAUGCACUAGCAUGAAAUAGUCAUGAAAUAGCAUAUUAGCUGUUGGUGCUGGAUGCAUUUGUAUUCAGAUGUUUCUAUUUCUAUUUAAUAUUUAAUAUUGUUCUUUAACAGGUUUUCCCAGGGGCUGCAGUUAAGGCAAAUUGAUAUGCUUCAGGAUGGUGUGGCAGGAAGCAGUCGGACGCUGUCAAAGAUGAGCUACAAAUUGAGAAAAGUAUGCCAGAGGGCAAUCAAGAGGAGAGAAAGAAGGGGAAAGCAGAGAAUUGUAAGAGGGAAUGAAUUUGUGAUGCUGGACGAAAGCAACUUCUACCACAAAAGGAAGGAAGAAGUCGAUGUUAACAGCAGAUGGACAAUUACUCUGCGGGCCUUCCCAUCUUCCUGCGGAAAGAGGCUGCUGGAUUUUUUAAGAACAGGAAUGCAGAAGAAAUUGACCUGCCAGACCUCUCGGAAGCAGCUGUAGCUAUUCUCACUGUCUCAAGUGACACAGACUCCCUUGCGAAGUUUGGUCCUGCUAUCCAUUCUAUAGUUUUUGAGGGAGAUUUGUGUGUGAUAUAGCGGAGUUGACAGAGGCAUUCAUUUUGCUGUUUGGCUUAAUUUAUGCGCUUCAUCUCGAUUAUCCAAAGCAAAUGUCCUACACAUUUAAUUUCAUUCAAAAAAAUAUACUGGGUUUGGAUGACCUGAAGCGGUUACCUCCUACUGCUUAGCCUUAAAAAUGAAUUGCUGAUGAUGAAUGAGUAAGAAGUCUGUUUUCCAAAUCUCAUGUUGGUACUGCCAGCAUGUUAAUACUCAAGCAAGCAGGGGGGGAAGAGUACCAUCUUUUAGUUAUUUUUAUGCUUUUAUUUAUGUUAUUUUUGUUGAGUAUUAUUACCUUUGUUGAAGAAAUGGUUUUUAUUUCUUUGGUUUUGAUAAACCCCAUUUCAAGGGAGGCUGUUCCGUUAGAAUUCAAAUGGAGUUCUUAAAUAAAUGGAAUCUGCAGUGAAAUUGUC